rnacentral:lncRNA from 1 species
GACCCGAGGGGGGCCCCCACGCCCGCUCUGGCCUCUCAGGUCAGGCCCUCCCCUCCCCUCCCCUCCCCUCCCCCGCCCCUGUGUCUCCGCGAGCCGGCUGUGUGCCUGCGAGAGCGUGCACACCCGCGGGACCUUCCCUUUUGUUCCACCCUGACCUCUACCUUCUCUACCUUGUGCUGACCCCGCUGGGGUGCAGGGGUUCCCUUCGGAGGAGGCCGGGGCUCAAGAUCUCCCUCCUGCUAAGUCUGCGCUGCUGCAGGAGGGCUGGGGGAAGGGCAGGGGUGUGGAGAGGGGGUGCCUGGUGUCUUCUUUCUCUCUCUGCCCCCACCAAGUGCGGACGCAUCGAGCUUCGGCCCCCACCCCUGCAUUCGCGAUUGGCUCCCGGAGGAGGUGGCUGGUGCUGCCGCCGCUGCAGCAUCUCCUAGGGAGCCGCGACCCUGCGCCCGCCGCCGCUGCCGCUGUCACCAGCCCGGCCCCAGGGGUGCCCUGGGCUCCGCGGCUGAGGCACCUAGGGAGUUGCCCCCCUAGUGGACGGCCUCUCAGGAGAUCCUGACCACCCUCUGGGAACCUGGACUCCUCCAAGCAUCGUCUUUCUCGCCUGCAUCUUCGGAGAGAGGUGCUGAGCCCUUCCUCAUGGAUACGGGGUCCCGGGAGGCAGCCUUCACCAGGGACCUGCCCAGGAAACCAGCAGAUGCCCAGCUGUAGCUGUGCAUUGAUGGCGCCGUGCGGCCCGGCCGCAGGUCCCGCAGCCGUGGAGAGGACCCAGCAGGUGGCGCGGGGAGAGCCCGGCUCGGCACGUGGUCAGCUCCAAGUCAGCCCUGAAAUGUCCAUUACUCACAAAGAAAAGGAAAAUGCUCAUUUGAAAGAAAUUCUUCUCUUUGUCAAUGCUGAGGCAUUCUCUCAGCCCCAGCCCCACAGUGCUCCAGUGUGUGAAGGGCAACAGCUGACGGGGAAGUUCAGCACAUCUGUGCUGACCAGGGCUGGAGGCGAUGCCAGUCCGUGCAGCUGGGAACGCCUCCUCUGCUAUGGCUGGAGCCACUGCUGAAGGGACUCCACCUGGCACCUAUGCCACCAAUGGCCCCUGAACGGGUAUCUAGGCCCACCCUUAAUAAAGAUGAGCUGCUCAUUCCCA